rnacentral:tRNA from 1 species
GGUUUCGUAGCUCAGCUGAGAGCGGCCUUGCCCCGUUGAGGCAUGCUGUGUCUGUUGCUGGUUCGAAUCCAGCCGAAGCCC